GCUACUUGCUCGUUGUAAAGUAAUGUCGUUAGUUCGUUAAUUGUGAUACCAUCGGAAGGAUAAAGACCAAUUUAGUGAUGAUGAUGAUGAUGAUGAUGAUGAUACACCAACCGUUCGUCCGGUCCAAAAACCAUUCGAUUAGUAAGAUCAAGAAUUUUGAAUUAGAUUAUUGAAGGCAAUGUCAAACUGCUACCUGAUACAGAAACUACAA
rnacentral:lncRNA from 13 species